UACGUAGGGCGCAAGCGUUGUCCGGAAUUAUUGGGCGUAAAGAGCUCGUAGGCGGUUUGUCGCGUCUGCUGUGAAAACUCGAGGCUCAACCUCGGGCUUGCAGUGGGUACGGGCAGACUAGAGUGCGGUAGGGGAGACUGGAAUUCCUGGUGUAGCGGUGGAAUGCGCAGAUAUCAGGAGGAACACCGAUGGCGAAGGCAGGUCUCUGGGCCACUACUGACGCUGAGAAGCGAAAGCAUGGGGAGCGAACAGG
rnacentral:rRNA from 1 species